rnacentral:lncRNA from 1 species
UGAUGAUGUUACGGCAUGAUAUGGUAUGGAAGUCCAGGUUGUACCCAUUCUACGUCCCUGGCACGAUGUAAGAGAAAGUCCAGGUUGUACCCAUUCUACGUCCCUGGCACAUUGGUAUGUUAUGAUAUGUUAUGAUAAGAGAAAGACCGGUUGUACCCAUUCUACGUCCCGGCACAGUUGGACUAUGUAGAGGACUAUUGGUGACAAUACCAUCCGAGAUGUGAUUUGUUGUGAUGUGUUGCAUUUCAUGAGAGCAUGAAAUUUUUAUAUAUGAUUUCACUAUUCUACUCACUGGGCUUUGUAGCUCACCCCUCUCCCCUAACCCCAGAUGUGCAGGUACAAGGUAGACCAGGAGGUUAGCCAGAGUUUUGAAGUAUGUUUAUGUAAUAGUUAGAUUGUGGACAUGACAAUUGUACUAUGAUAAAUUGUAAGAUGAUGUAUAACUGAAUAGUUAUGUUAUGUGUAAUGAUAUUGAGGUUUAGAAUUGUGCUUGACUAUAGUUCAUUGUAAUCCCUUGUUG